GUUGCAAAAAAAAAGACUUUAGUUUGUACUUUCGUAACUUUUUUGUCAAGCCCCUGCUCGACGGGUGGGUCUGGCGAUUAAGCUCCUUUCUGCCUUUGCACUCGAGAGCCAAAGUACAUAAUUAAAGAAGAUUAGAAGUGGCGUUAAAAACACACAACAUAAGAGAUUUUGAAGUAUGUAGAAUCCAUGGCCUCAUCCCCCAUGUCGUGAAACAAGUUGGCAUAGAGCCCCAUUGAUGAGAGCAUUCAAACGAAUCCAGUUUCCAUUUUCGAUUCUUCUGGCCUGAUCUCUAAUUUGAUUAUGUGCAUGUUAGCCGUGUUAUUUAUCAUAUCCUUUUGUUUUGCGAAUGAUAGUAAUUUCAGUCAUUGUUUGUCAAUUGUUAAGAUACAAGUCUAGCCUCUCAAUUCAUUUAUUUUCUUUUUUUCUUUUUGACAUCAAUUCAUUUGUAAUAGAAGUAACUAUUUUUGGUCCUCAGCGUUACAAAAACCAAUGGCAAUAUUGUGCACUAAUGGGACCGGGACUGUCUAAGCAUACACAACUGAUUCUGGAUUUAGAGUUUGCUGCAAAUAACAAAUAGUAUUAAUUAAUACUUAAACAAUAAUCAUAUAAGCAUUACCUUCUAUAGUAAGUAGACAUGGUAAGUUCUCUUACCACAAUCAAGCUCUUCGCCAUCUUGGAUGUUUAGACAAAGCAUCAAAGACAUUACAAAAGCAUUUGAAGUUAGGUUAUGUUUUGCUUUGGCAAACAUCAUUAUUUCUUCGAUAGGAAGGUGAAGAUAACUUUUAGAGCAUCAUUAUCCAUGUAUCUUACACACAGGUUUCUUAGUAUAAUUGGGAUUUAAAAAAAAAAGAAAAAAUGUAAUAAUCAUGGGAGACGUCACUUAAUUAAGCACUGGAAGAGACGUCUCUUCUCUUCAUGUCUUUGCCUUCCUCUCUUCACCUUUCUCUCUUCCUCUCUAUCUCUUCCUCUCUGUCUCGUGCUUCCACAGUUUGUUCACCGUGAAGAUGUCGUUGACGGAGCUAGACGAUGGACUGGUACGUAGUAUGGCCAUCGGAACAGUCUUCUCCGACUUCGGAGGGAAGAUACGUUCGGUGGGGUUCCACAGGACUGAUGAUCAGCUGGUGACAUCGAGCGAGGAUGAUUCGCUCCUUCAAGAUUCUGCUUUGUUUCUCAGAUUUUUGCUAAUGUUUUUCUUGGUCUUCUGAAGGUAACGGAAUCAAUCAGUUUCAAUCUGAACUUUUAGUUUUUCCAAUCUUCAAUCAAUUCCAAGUUUAUUCACAGUUUUGGGGAAGAUUUGCUGUCUACUCUCCAAUUCGUUUUCCAUAAAGUUCGUUUCUUUCCUGCUUAAAAAUGGAUGCUUCGAGGUGAUUUCAAGAAAAGUUUGUACCUUUUCUAGAUUUGGGGUAUCUUUGUUGAUAACGACGAAAAAAUUGGAGUAACAAUAUGACUAUAAUGGAGGAGAAGCAGAGUGUCGAGAAUCAUCAUCCCCCAAGCAGGCUCGGAAGAUCAAUGGAGAAAUAGCAGAGCUUCCGAGGUGUUGCCACUGUACAUAAUCAGAAACGUGGAGUUAUUAUGGAGAAGCUUCCUAGUUUUGGCAAAGCAGCAACGAUGGAGAGGCAGAAGAGUUUCCGCGGCGGGUUUCUAGAGAAGCAGAAGAGAUUCCGUGUGGUGAUGGAGAGGCAGCUGAGCUUCAUCGGUGAGAGGAGGAAGAAGACUGAGUCGCCAGGGAAGAGAGGUGACUCGCCUCUCCAUAUAGCUGCUAGAACUGAGAACUUAGGGAAGGUUAAAGUGCUGAUUCGAGGCGGUUGCGAUGGAGAGGAGUUGAGAGAGUUGUUGUCAAAGCAGAAUUUUGAAGGAGAGACUCCUCUUUACACUGCUGCAGAGAAUGGUCAUUCAGCUGUUGGUGAGAAGAUGUUGAAGUGAGCUGAUCAUUUUUUCUUUGUUUUGUAGAAAUGUGGUUUUAGUUUGGAGCCUUCACAAGGUACAUCCCUAGAAGCCACCUUCACACCAGAUGGCAAGUAUUUUCUGCCAGGUAAUAUGGUCAUACACUUGUCCAGAUAAUGCUAGAUUCUUUUUGAUUGUUCUGUCUUUGUUGCCUUUACAUGGAUGGAUCAAGUGACAUGAGUCAGGUUCCAGUUGCAACAGAGGUGGUGAAGUGGAGUGGAGCAUUGGAGUGGAGCAUUCAUGGGUAUUGGAGUGGAGCAUUCACGAGUGACAGAGAGUUGUUGUUUCAUUGUCUUGUGUCAUUGAGUCAUUGAGUUGUAAUUGUGUCAUUGACUUGUAUUUGUGUCACGGGUGUACAAGAGUGACAGAGAGAGUUGGAGUCUUUUGGUGUUUGUAGUCUUCUGUUAAAGUUCACACAUAUAGUUCACGAGUGACAACUUCCAUCCUUCUCUAUAUAUAUUUGCAAUUCACU